UGGGGAAUAUUGGACAAUGGGGGCAACCCUGAUCCAGCCAUGCCGCGUGAGUGAUGAAGGCCUUCGGGUUGUAAAGCUCUUUUGGCGGGGACGAUGAUGACGGUACCCGCAGAAUAAGCCCCGGCUAACUUCGUGCCAGCAGCCGCGGUAAGACGAAGGGGGCUAGCGUUGUUCGGAAUUACUGGGCGUAAAGCGAGUGUAGGCGGUUGCCGUAGUCAGGUGUGAAAGCCUUGAGCUCAACUCAAGAAAUGCACUUGAUACUGGGUGACUAGAGGACCGGAGAGGAUAGUGGAAUUCCCAGUGUAGUGGUGAAAUACGUAGAGAUGUGGAGGAAUACCGAUGGCGAAGGCAGCCCCCUGGGCCAAUACUGACGCUCAUGCACGAAAGCGUGGGGAGCAAACAGGAUUAGAUACCCUGGUAGUCCACGCCCUAAACGAUGUCAACUAGUUGUUGGGGGAUUCAUUUCCUUAGUAACGUAGCUAACGCGUGAAGUUGACCGCCUGGGGGAGUACGGCCGCAAGGUUAAAAACUCAAAGGAAUUGACGGGGUCAUAGCUGUUUCCU
rnacentral:rRNA from 1 species